UACGGAGGGUGCAAGCGUUAAUCGGAAUUACUGGGCGUAAAGCGUGCGUAGGCGGUUCGUUAAGUCUGCUGUGAAGCCCCGGGCUCAACCUGGGAAUGGCAGUGGAUACUGGCGAGCUAGAGUGUGUCAGAGGAUGGUGGAAUUCCCGGUGUAGCGGUGAAAUGCGUAGAGAUCGGGAGGAACAUCAGUGGCGAAAGGCGGCCAUCUGGGACAACACUGACGCUGAGGCACGAAAGCGUGGGGAGCAAACAGGAGUUAGAAACC
rnacentral:rRNA from 1 species